UAUGAACUGACCGCCAAGGACAGUUAGCUUUGGUGCGAAUUUGGCGUGUUAUAAUUGCGAUGGUAGUCUAGUAGUAUACCACAGGGUAUUGUAGAAUCACUAUUCUGGUUGUAAGUUUGCUGGUUAGGAUCUGAAGGAAAAAGUCGUGAAACUCAAUAAUUUGGGUCAACAAUUGGAAAUGAAAAACGAAGAGCUUAUUCAACAAGAGAAUUGCAGGGUCCAAGGAGUUUCAUUAUUUUCAACAAUGGUGGAUACAGCAACACUGGGCUCUUUGAUGAUAUGGACACUUCUGAUUCCAAAUCGGAUUGUGAUUCUGAGACUCUUGAUGUCGAACGGGUGCAGUCGAGGAAGGUUCUGAAAAAGAAAAAGGGAUCAAGAAAGGGAUGUUCUCUUGAAGCAGUGUCAAAUCCCAUUGAUCUUGCAACUUCAGUAGGUCUGUUUACGAAUUCCACUGUUGGGAAUUGUGAAUUUCCAAGUAUCUGCAUGUUUCAGCACAUUCAGAUGAGAUCGAAGAGGGUGGAAGUUGUAGUGUCAAUGUCGAUGUUGAAUCGCCUGCAGGUCAUGGUGCAAACCUAUUACAAAGUGCAUUAACUGACAAACCCCCUAUUGAUGCAAAGAAUGUCAAACGUGAGAAAGGGAGGAAUCCGUUAUCUGACAUCGGGAAUACUGGGCAAAACAAAUGCUUCAAAGAAAAUGCAGAGUAAAAAAUGGCUAAAGGGACUUAUUCAGCUCGUUCCAUGACACCAUCUUUAUGCUCAGCAGGAUAGCGUUGAAGACACUGUGAAGCCAGAGAACACAGUUUAGCAAGAAAUUCCUGAAAAACUACCACGUGCAAUUCGGUACUACAGCAAACACCAACCCAUUUAAAGAAAGGAAUUCUGAGCAGGCCGAAGAAUCGUUUGUGAAUAGGGAGGUUGGUUUAUCUACUCCUGGAAAUCCUGCUUGGCAAACUAGGGAUUCAGAAGAGAAAUAGAAUCAUGGCAUCUAGGUUUAUCAUUAGUCACUUUGUCAAGGUUUGUGAGGAUGAGCUUAACUGAUCAACUAGAUGAAAAUAUGUUUAUGUUAUGUAAGCAUUUUAAAGAUGCAGCGAUGUUGUCAGUUCCUUCUUUUUCUCGCUGCCAGCAAGAUAAUUGUAGACAACACUGUCAGAUCCUUGUGAAAUUUAAUGUUUGAGGAUCCAGUUUCAACUUUGAACUGGCAAAACUGGAAAUUGUUAUCCAGGAAAAAUAAGGUUGGUUG